UACGUAGGGUGCAAGCGUUAAUCGGAAUUACUGGGCGUAAAGCGUGCGCAGGCGGUUAUGCAAGACAGAUGUGAAAUCCCCGGGCUCAACCUGGGAACUGCAUUUGUGACUGCAUGGCUAGAGUACGGCAGAGGGGGAUGGAAUUCCGCGUGUAGCAGUGAAAUGCGUAGAUAUGCGAAGGAACACCGAUGGCGAAGGCAAUCCCCUGGGCCUGUACUGACGCUCAUGCACGAAAGCGUGGGGAGCAAACAGG
rnacentral:rRNA from 1 species